rnacentral:rRNA from 1 species
GACGAACGCUGGCGGCGUGCUUAAUACAUGCAAGUCGAACGGACAGGCCCUGCUUUUGUGGGGUGCUCGAGUGGCGAACGGGUGAGUAACACGUGAGUAACCUGCCCUUGACUUUGGGAUAACUUCAGGAAACUGGGGCUCAUACCGGAUAGGAGCUCCUGCUGCAUGGUGGGGGAUGGAAAGUUUCGGCGGUUGGGGAUGGACUCGCGGCUUAUCAGCUUGUUGGUGUGGUAGUGGCUUACCAAGGCUUUGACGGGUAGCCGGCCUGAGAGGGUGACCGGCCACAUUGGGACUGAGGUACGGCCCAGACUCCUACGUGAGGCAGCAGGGGGAAAUAUUGCACAAUGGGCGGAAGCCUGAUGCAGCAACGCCGCGUGCGGAAUGACGGCCUUCGAGGUGUAAACCGCUUUCGCCGGUAACGAAGCGUGAGUGACGGUAAUGGGUAAAGAAGCACCGGCUAACUACGUG